UACACGCUGUGACUAGCAUAUCAAUAAGCGGAGGAAAAGAAACUAACAAGGAUUCCCUCAGUAACGGCGAGUGAAGCGGGAAGAGCUCAAAUUUGAAAUCUUCAAGGUUUUACCUUGACGAAUUGUAGUUUAAAGAAGUGUUUUCUGCUGAAGUUUUGGUAAAAGUUCUUUGGAAUAGGACAUCACAGAGGGUGAGAAUCCCGUCUAUGAUUGCGAUUUGUAGCUUUGUGAUACACUUUCAAAGAGUCGGGUUGUUUGGGAAUGCAGCCCAAAACGGGAGGUAAAUUUCUUCUAAGGCUAAAUAUUGGCGAGAGACCGAUAGCGAACAAGUACCGUGAGGGAAAGAUGAAAAGAACUUUGAAAAGAGAGUUAAAUAGUACGUGAAAUUGUCAAAAGGGAAGCGUUUAACACCAGUGUUGUUUUCUGAAAAUCAACCUCUGUUAGCUUUAUGCAUGUUUGUUUAGACCUAAUCAGCUAUCUUGCAUGUUCUAUUGUUUGCAGUGGUGCACUUUUCAGUUUACAGGUCAACAUCAGUUUUUUUUACCGUAAAAAAGUUAAAGAAAGGUAGCUCAUGGCUCCGGUCGUGAGUGUUAUAGUCUUUUUCCUAUGCGGUAGGAGAGACUGAGGUCUGCAGUGUAGGCUAUUUGGCUAGAUACUCAGGUGCUAUGUGAUACCAUUUCAUAAACAACUUGUUGAUUAUGUUUUGUCUAUUGCAUACUCGCUUGUACUAUCAUACCUACGCUUAGGAUGUUGAGUAGCGACAUACGCAC
rnacentral:rRNA from 1 species